AGUGAACGCUGGCGGCAGGCCUAACACAUACAAGUCGAACGGCAGCACAGAGGAGCUUGCUCCUUGGGUGGCGAGUGGCGGACGGGUGAGGAAUACAUCGGAAUCUGCCUUAUCGUGGGGGAUAACGUAGGGAAACUUACGCUAAUACCGCAUACGACCUACGGGUGAAAGCGGAGGACCUUCGGGCUUCGCGCGAUAAGAUGAGCCGAUGUCGGAUUAGCUAGUUGGCGGGGAAAGGCCCACCAAGGCGACGAUCCGUAGCUGGUCUGAGAGGAUGAUCAGCCACACUGGAACUGAGACACGGUCCAGACUCCUACGGGAGGCAGCAGUGGGGAAUAUUGGACAAUGGGCGCAAGCCUGAUCCAGCCAUGCCGCGUGUGUGAAGAAGGCC
rnacentral:rRNA from 1 species